rnacentral:rRNA from 1 species
CGAAUGCUGACAUAAGUAACGAUAAAGCGGGUGAAAAGCCCGCUCGCCGGAAGACCAAGGGUUCCUGUCCAACGUUAAUCGGGGCAGGGUGAGUCGACCCCUAAGGCGAGGCCGAAAGGCGUAGUCGAUGGGAAACAGGUUAAUAUUCCUGUACUUGGUGUUACUGCGAAGGGGGGACGGAGAAGGCUAUGUUGGCCGGGCGACGGUUGUCCCGGUUUAAGCGUGUAGGCUGGUUUUCCAGGCAAAUCCGGAAAAUCAAGGCUGAGGCGUGAUGACGAGGCACUACGGUGCUGAAGCAACAAAUGCCCUGCUUCCAGGAAAAGCCUCUAAGCAUCAGGUAACAUCAAAUCGUACCCCAAACCGACACAGGUGGUCAGGUAGAGAAUACCAAGGCGCUUGAGAGAACUCGGGUGAAGGAACUAGGCAAAAUGGUGCCGUAACUUCGGGAGAAGGCACGCUGAUAUGUAGGUGAAGUCCCUCGCGGAUGGAGCUGAAAUCAGUCGAAGAUACCAGCUGGCUGCAACUGUUUAUUAAAAACACAGCACUGUGCAAACACGAAAGUGGACGUAUACGGUGUGACGCCUGCCCGGUGCCGGAAGGUUAAUUGAUGGGGUCAGCGCAAGCGAAGCUCUUGAUCGAAGCCCCGGUAAACGGCGGCCGUAACUAUAACGGUCCUAAGGUAGCGAAAUUCCUUGUCGGGUAAGUUCCGACCUGCACGAAUGGCGUAAUGAUGGCCAGGCUGUCUCCACCCGAGACUCAGUGAAAUUGAACUCGCUGUGAAGAUGCAGUGUACCCGCGGCAAGACGGAAAGACCCCGUGAACCUUUACUAUAGCUUGACACUGAACAUUGAGCCUUGAUGUGUAGGAUAGGUGGGAGGCUUUGAAGUGUGGACGCCAGUCUGCAUGGAGCCGACCUUGAAAUACCACCCUUUAAUGUUUGAUGUUCUAACGUUGACCCGUAAUCCGGGUUGCGGACAGUGUCUGGUGGGUAGUUUGACUGGGGCGGUCUCCUCCUAAAGAGUAACGGAGGAGCACGAAGGUUGGCUAAUCCUGGUCGGACAUCAGGAGGUUAGUGCAAUGGCAUAAGCCAGCUUGACUGCGAGCGUGACGGCGCGAGCAGGUGCGAAAGCAGGUCAUAGUGAUCCGGUGGUUCUGAAUGGAAGGGCCAUCGCUCAACGGAUAAAAGGUACUCCGGGGAUAACAGGCUGAUACCGCCCAAGAGUUCAUAUCGACGGCGGUGUUUGGCACCUCGAUGUCGGCUCAUCACAUCCUGGGGCUGAAGUAGGUCCCAAGGGUAUGGCUGUUCGCCAUUUAAAGUGGUACGCGAGCUGGGUUUAGAACGUCGUGAGACAGUUCGGUCCCUAUCUGCCGUGGGCGCUGGAGAACUGAGGGGGGCUGCUCCUAGUACGAGAGGACCGGAGUGGACGCAUCACUGGUGUUCGGGUUGUCAUGCCAAUGGCACUGCCCGGUAGCUAAAUGCGGAAGAGAUAAGUGCUGAAAGCAUCUAAGCACGAAACUUGCCCCGAGAUGAGUUCUCCCUGACCCUUUAAGGGUCCUGAAGGAACGUUGAAGACGACGACGUUGAUAGGCCGGGUGUGUAAGCGCAGCGAUGCGUUGAGCUAACCGGUACUAAUGAACCGUGAGG